GGUGCCAUCAGGCCAAGAAGCUGGAAGAGGCAGGAGACACUGAGCCCUGCAAACACAGGCUGAUGGGAGCAGCAGGAGGAGCCCAUCCAGGAUGACCCCCCACCUGCAUCCAGCACAUCUGGCCCAGUGCGGCAGGCAGGGACGCUUUGUCCUCAGAACAGUGGCGCGGCGUUGCACAGCACAGCCUGGCCACCAGCAGCCUUUGGAAGCAUCAGCAGCGACAGAAACUGGAAAGGCGCAAACCCAGGGCUCAAGCCCAGCUACACGGCUUCCUGACUCUGUGACCUUCCGCAACUUAAUUUGCUUCUCUGAGCCUCAGUUUCCUUAUGUGCAAAGUAGAAGUAAUACUCGUGCCCACCCGAUCACCUGUGCUUGUUGGUGCCCCCCCCCCCCCCCGCCAUUCCUCUUCUACGGAUGGGCAAUCAGACAGACCUGAGUCUGGAUCCCCUCUCUGCCACAACAUGACCUUGGGUAAGUUGGGCAAGUUCCUUCACCUGAGCCUCGUGUUCCUUAUCCACAAAUGUGAGCAAAGAGUACCCACCUCUCAGGUUUUCGGACAGAUACAAUAAAUGUGACCUGUCCCUGCUAUUAAUCCAGCAGGAUUGAUUAUCUGGCCCAAGAAGAGGGGAUCACAACCAGCAUCCCAGCCUGUCUGCAAAUGCAAAACCAGUCCCAAAGACAUUUUUGGAAGGCCUUUUCUUUCGAUGCAGCAUGCAGAAGGGUGUGAGAGUGAAGAGGUCAAGCAGUCCCCAUUUCAGAACACCAACACCUUUCUGCAAACAGGCGCCACAUUUAAGGUACGAAAGUCGGAGACCCACACAUAAAACGGGCUCAACAGUCAGAGAAACCCAAAAUAUCCCUCACCUAUUCCAAAAGGCUACAAGAAUUCAGAAGAAAAAAGUA